AGGAGAAGGAGCUCCUGGAGAAGCUGUACCAGGUGGGGCUGCUGCUGGAGACAGCAAGGACAACCUCAAGGAUGACAGUCUCUUCCUUGGCCUGGCCAGCUGAAGAAGAUGGACUUGGAUUCUGGCACCUUCUCUAAAGACACACUCCACACCCAAUUUGCAGCCGGGCUCUGCGGGUGCUGAGGCUGCUCUGGGCUCUGCCAGGGCUCUGCUGGGCUCAGCCCUGGGCACAGCUGGGCUGGCUCUGCCCUCACAUUGCUCUGACAGCUUUGCAUCAGACAAGCCCGUUCCGAGCACAGCGCCUGAGCUUUCUGCUUUGGCAGAGGUGCCACAAGUGGGCCAAAGCUGGCGAGUGGGCCGUGUCCCUGAGGCAGUGCAGUCUGGAGCUGAUGGAUGGAGAAUUGCCUUUCUGCACUCCCAAACCAGAGGAAAAAUCUGUAAGUGGGACUUUGUGUCUUUAAGAAACCCCUGACAGUUUCAAAGGGAAUGUGCAGCUCAUUCACAGGGUGAGAAGGAAGGGCAUCUUCUGAAGGGUUUGGGGUUUGACAGAGGUUAUAUUCCCAGUGCUGCUUGGAGCUGGAAGGGCACAAAGCAAUUUCCCAUUGCUUCAACCACAAUUUAAAAUAACAAUGUUGGAAACAAAGCCCAAAAACUUUUUAAAAAGGCUGCUGAGGUCAGUAAGAUGGAUCCAUGCCAUCAGCA